rnacentral:lncRNA from 1 species
CGUCAUUGAACCCCCAGCAGGGAGCAAGCGGCUAGGUCAGGAGAGGGAAGAGGGGUAAAGGCAUUCCAGGCAGAGGGAAGAACAUUGAAAAAGGCAUGGAGAAGAGAAGUUCAAGGACCUCCAAGCAGGUGGGCAUGGCCAGGGAAAGGGGGCACCCAAGAGUGAGAGGAUGUGGGGCUAGAAAGCUAAGCAGGUGCCAGCCGGUUCACACGCUGAGUUUGAACUUGACCCUUUUUACCUGGGUCAUUAUGUCACCGACUCUCCCCACACCCCUGAGAGGUGGGAAUUAUGGCCCCAUUCACAAAUGGAGACUGAGGCCCAGGGAGGUGAAGUCACUUGCCCAAGAGCGGAUCCUUGGAGAAAUGGCAGGGGUGGGAUUGGAGCUCAGGCCUCAUCUAACUGCAUGAGUGGGAAGAUGGAGGCAGCAGGGUUCUGGGUGUCUGUGGCAGGCAGAGGUGGGUUAUCCAGGAGAAAGGAAGGAAGCAAGGCUUUUGGGACUGGGUGCCAGGCCCACCGUCCCAUCACGCUGGGCCCGG